GACGGAGGGGGCAAGCGUUGUUCGGAGUUACUGGGCGUAAAGGGUGUGUAGGCGGUUUUCUAAGUUUGGUGUGAAAUCCUCCCGCGUUAACCGGGAGGGUGCGACCGAAAACUGGGAGACUAGAGUGCGGGAUGGGAGAGUAGAAUUCCGUGGUGAUAGCGGUGAAAUGCGUAGAUAUCAGGAGGAAUACCGGUGGUGCAGACGGCUCUCUGGACCGCAAACUGGACGCU
rnacentral:rRNA from 1 species